GACUCUCGGCAAAGGAUAUCUCGGCUCUCGCAUCGACGAAGAACGCAGCAAAAUGCGAUACUUGGUGUGAAUUGCAGAAUCCAUAUUCAAUAAUAACAAUAACUAAAUAAUAAUUUAUUAGUAAAAAAUAAAACUGAUUUAAUGGAA
rnacentral:rRNA from 1 species